GUGGGGAAUCUUAGACAAUGGGGGAAACCCUGAUCUAGCCAUGCCGCGUGAGCGAUGAAGGCCUUAGGGUUGUAAAGCUCUUUCAGCUGGGAAGAUAAUGACGGUACCAGCAGAAGAAGCCCCGGCUAACUCCGUGCCAGCAGCCGCGGUAAUACGGAGGGGGCUAGCGUUGUUCGGAAUUACUGGGCGUAAAGCGCGCGUAGGCGGACCAGAAAGUUGGAGGUGAAAUCCCAGGGCUCAACCUUGGAACUGCCUUCAAAACUCCUGGUCUGGAGUUCGAGAGAAGUGAGUGUAAUUCCGAGUGUAGAGGUGAAAUUCGUAGAUAUUCGGAGGAACACCAGUGGCGAAGGCGGCUCACUGGCUCGAUACUGACGCUGAGGUGCGAAAGCGUGGGGAGCAAACAGGAUUAGAAACCCUGGUAGUCC
rnacentral:rRNA from 1 species